AGAAACAUUGAAGCAUUGAGGCUGACAUGCCCGCUCUUCUUUUGCAUAUUUGCAUAGUCUUUCUUGGGGGGAGCUUCCAUGGAGGGGGCGGCUCUUGCCUGGGGUGGUCGUUUGGGAGCGGCUCCUCAUGCUGUCUAGUGAAGGUUUCUGGGGCUUCCGCCAUGGCGGUGUGCUUUUCUUUUUUGACACUUUUAACUACUUUUGCCUCAUGCCAAUUUGUUCGUGUAUCGUUUUCAUGGGUGCUUCUUGCUGGUGCAGUGUUCGGGUUCCCUCUGGCUGCAUCUCUUUUGUGUUCCUGUGUUCUUGGCUCUGGUGGUCUCGCUGUGACUCCUAUAUGGGC
rnacentral:lncRNA from 1 species